rnacentral:sRNA from 1 species
UAAGGGCAUGGCAGUGCUCUUCCAGCUGUGAAGUGCCUUGGGGCGUGGGGUGGGCUCCCACCACCAGCGGGGAAUUUCAGGUUCCCAGGCAGCUUUCCCUGCAGCUUAAAACCCCUCCUCCACCUGUGCCAGGAUGCUGCCCCCUUGUGGGGAUCCCCAGUGUGAUGCCCCAACACUCUUCUAUCUCCCUGCCCAGGUCACCCUCAGCUACGGUGUCUUUGAGGGGAAACUCAACGUCAUUAAGCUACAGGGCCCCUUCUCCCCGGAGGAGGACCCCUCCAGAUUUCGCUCCCUCCAUUGUCUGCUCUAUCCAGAUACACCCUGGUGUCCCCAGCUGGGUGCCCGAUGAAUCCUGAACUGCUGGGCAAAGCCUUUCUUGCUGUUAGGGGCUACCAUGGGACCAGCUCUGGCCAGAGGGAACUAAGCAAAUCCAAUAGAGAUGUUUCUGGGGAAGGUUUUGCAGCCCAUUCCCCAUCUUCCUGCUAUAAAUGUGGGUGUGAUGGCUGGAUCUGGGGCAGCCACCUUGCUACCAUGAAGGAAAGGCCAAGACAAUCAUCCACAGCUAUUCCCUCCAGCAUCUGGUUCUGUACGAAAAUUAAAUGCUUAUUUGUUUAA